rnacentral:rRNA from 1 species
ACAGCAGCCGCCACGGUAAUACGUAGGGUGCGAGCGUUAAUCGGAAUUACUGGGCGUAAAGCGUGCGCAGGCGGUUCGUUAAGACAGAUGUGAAAUCCCCGGGCUUAACCUGGGAACUGCAUUUGUGACUGACGGGCUAGAGUAUGGCAGAGGGGGGUAGAAUUCCACGUGUAGCAGUGAAAUGCGUAGAGAUGUGGAGGAAUACCGAUGGCGAAGGCAGCCCCCUGGGCCAAUACUGACGCUCAUGCACGAAAGCGUGGGGAGCAAACAGGAUUAGAUACCCGCGUAGUCCCUGUCUCUUAUAC